CCUACGGGUGGCAGCAGUCGAGAAUCAUUCACAAUGGGGGAAACCCUGAUGGUGCGACGCCGCGUGGGGGAAUGAAGGUCUUCGGAUUGUAAACCCCUGUCAUGUGGGAGCAAAUUAAAAAGAUAGUACCACAAGAGGAAGAGACGGCUAACUCUGUGCCAGCAGCCGCGGUAAUACAGAGGUCUCAAGCGUUGUUCGGAAUCACUGGGCGUAAAGCGUCCGUAGGCUGUUUCGUAAGUCGUGUGUGAAAGGCGCGGGCUCAACCCGCGGACGGCACAUGAUACUGCGAGACUAGAGUAAUGGAGGGGGAACCGGAAUUCUCGGUGUAGCAGUGAAAUGCGUAGAUAUCGAGAGGAACACUCGUGGCGAAGGCAGGUUACUGGACAUUAACUGACGCUGAGGCACGAAGGCCAGGGGAGCGAAAGGGAUUAGAUACCCCAGUAGUC
rnacentral:rRNA from 1 species